GCCUUCGUGGUAUAAUGGUCAGCACGCUCGACGCGUAACCGAAAGGUCCGUGGUUAAAUUCCUGGCAAAGGCG
rnacentral:tRNA from 1 species